UCGCCGCUGAGCACCCCACUCUCUCAAGACGGAGAACAUGAACCGCGCUCCGAAGAGAGAGAGCGAGCGAGCGAGGAGGCGAGAGAGAAAGAAAGAGACAGGGAGAAAGAGGGAGCUCCCCAUUCAAGCGAAGAAAGGGAGGAAAAAACGACGCUCCCCGGUCCUUUUGAGCGCGGACUGGAUCUUUUUUUAGCAUCAUCUCGCUCCUUCGCCACCGAGCGCAGCGCAAACGCAGAUCGCCCUCGGCGCCACACGCACACGCACAUACCGGGAGCUCUACGAGAAACUUUUCACUCCCGAAGCCUUUUCAGAUUUUUUCUUUCUUUUUUUCCUUUACGUUAUUUAUUGAUCGUCGAUCGGCUUUUUCCUCUGUGGAUUGUUGGGGCUGAUCGGAGGGAGUACGAACCGAGACCGUGUGGAUUUUCCCUUUUUAUUUUAUUUAUUUAUUUUUUUAUUCCUGUAAUCAAUUUUUGUUUUAUCCUGAGGAUUUGCUCGCAGGUGCCUGCAGCCUGUGGCACUAUGGGAGUACUGCUCUGACCCCCCCCCCCCACCCCAUCCUCUUCCUCCUUCUCCUCCUCCCCCUGCUCAGUGUCACGGGUUUUCCACUGUAGAGGCCUUUUAUUCCCAGCUUUAGAUCUGCCUUCACCCGUUUAACCUGCGGUUUGGUUUCGAGGCCCUUUUUCAAAGCGUUGGAAAAGCCAAAAAUCAUGAACUUUGGUGUCUAUUCGCUGCAGUUGGUGUUCGCAGCGCUGCUCCACGCGUCUGCGCUGAAGGCGGCACACAUACCUAAAGAGGGAGGGAAAGGCAGAAAUGAAGUUAUUGCCUUCAUGGACGUCUACACGAAAAGCCAGUGUAACACCAGGGAGGUUCUUGUUGACAUCCUGCAGGAGUAUCCAGAUGAGAUUGAAUCUACUUACAUCCCUUCCUGCGUAGUUCUCAAUCGUUGCGCGGGCUGCUGCAAUGAUGAAGCACUCGAGUGUGCUCCUACGGAGACGAGAAACGUCACGAUGGAGGUAUUACGAGUGAAACAAAAUGUAUCGCAACACAAAUAUCAGUUGAGUUUCACAGAACACACAAAAUGCAUAUGCAGACCAAAACAAGAAGUCAAAACAAAGAAAGAAAAAAAACCCAGAGUGGGCAAAGGUCAAAAGGGAAAGAAAAAGAGACUCAGAGGCCCUGGGCCCCAGGCCUAUAACAGCAGAAUCGCUCCUCUGCAGCCCGGCCCUGUUUGCGUCUUGCUUGUGGCUUGUGUUUUAGCAGAGUUUGUCUGGUCCUCCUGAUGCUGAGUGUUUUCCCCUCUCUGCUGUUUAUUAGUGUGAGACUAGCGCAGGGCCGUGGCUCAGAGGCAGCAGAAGAGGUGUGACAAACCAAGAAGAUGAUCAGGCUGGACAUCGGUGGACACCGAAAUGAAUGAAGGAAUACUUUUCUUGGCACUUUUUUUUUCAACCUGUGGACCAUACUGCAUAACACUACACCAGAAAAGACAACAAAGAAACGAGGCGCGUUAUCCCAGUGUAUAUUUUUAAGAAAUUAAUAUAUAUGAAUAUAUAGUUAUAUAUCUUUAAAAUAAGAGACAUUGACAAUGUGUAAUGCUGCUAUGGAAACACAGUGAACGACCGUGCCAUGAAUAAUGGCACAAGAAAGUUAUGCUUAAGUGCCAGUGCGUAAGGACCUGUGAACGGACGGAAUAGAGGGAUAUUCACGCAAAAACACAAAAAAAGCCCCAACAAAACACAGAUGGUGGACACCGCUUCACUGAACGGAGCUGCUGUGGAUUCAUAUUUAGAAAGGACAUUGAUCCACACUUUCAGAGAGACUCUGUACGAGUGAAGGACAAACAGAUUCGACGAAGACGCGUUCUGACUGGACAAACUGGCAGGUCCAAACUGAGAAGUGCAUGAACUGAUGGGGGAAAAAAGCAGAACGAUCUUAUUUCUGUGAGGUCUCUCCAAACAUGAGCGACGAAGUCUUACUCAAAACAGUGACUGUACUAACAUCCAAUAGGACUUGUGUAAAUAAUAAAGGGAUAUUAAAUGUAGGUAUAUAUGGAGACAAAAGUGAGAAAGGCAACUUGAUUCCAAGUGUUGCAGAAAACAGCAGCACUCUACUCUUCACAGUAAUGAUGGAGUCUAAUUCCAUAUAUUUAAUGUUCAUGUUUUCCAAAGAAGUUGAAUUCAAACAGUUGAAUUUAAAAACAGUUCAUUACUCCACGAUAACUGUGUGUCUGUAUAUACAUGCCUAAUAUCCCUUUUGGUAGUACACUACAUCUAAUUUAUAAUUGUAGAAUAUUCAGUAUUCUGUGUAUUUAAUUUGAUCUAUUUAUAUGCAGUGUUAUCGUUUGUUGUUUUUCGUUUUGCUUUGUUUCCUAUCAGCGUCAUCACCAAUCUGCCUAAUACUGAAAAACUAUAGAUGAUUUUGUUUUUUUUGUUCAAAAGCAGAAAAAUAAGUCUUAAACAUUCCUGAAAACACGUUUAUGUUUGUUAGGGGAAAAGUUAUUGCUUAGGCUAUUUCUCCAUAAAAGUUCUGCCAAACCUGCGUUUCAGGAGAGGGGAUUGAACCAGAGCUGGACGACGUGAACAGAGACUUGAAGCGCAAAGUAGAGAAAGAGAGUCAGUGAUGAACAGAUGACUCUUCCUCAUGGAUUUUCCCACCAACAUUCUAUUUGUAUUAAAGUGAAUGAAAAUGUUUUGUUUUUCAUUAUAUUUUCACAGUAAUAUAUUUAUUGCGUUAAAUGUUAAUAUUAACACCUGUUUAUUGUU